GACCGGCGCACGGGUGAGUAACACGUAUCCAACCUGCCGAUAACUCGGGGAUAGCCUUUCGAAAGAAAGAUUAAUACCCGAUGGUAUAAUCAGACCGCAUGGUCUUGUUAUUAAAGAAUUUCGGUUAUCGAUGGGGAUGCGUUCCAUUAGGCAGUUGGUGAGGUAACGGCUCACCAAACCUUCGAUGGAUAGGGGUUCUGAGAGGAAGGUCCCCCACAUUGGAACUGAGACACGGUCCAAACUCCUACGGGAGGCAGCAGUGAGGAAUAUUGGUCAAUGGGCGCAGGCCUGAACCAGCCAAGUAGCGUGAAGGAUGACUGCCCUAUGGGUUGUAAACUUCUUUUAUAUGGGAAUAAAGUUUUCCACGUGUGGAAUCUUGUAUGUACCAUAUGAAUAAGGAUCGGCUAACUCCGUGCCAGCAGCCGCGGUAAUACGGAGGAUCCGAGCGUUAUCCGGAUUUAUUGGGUUUAAAGGGAGCGUAGGUGGACAGUUAAGUCAGUUGUGAAAGUUUGCGGCUCAACCGUAAAAUUGCAGUUGAUACUGGCUGUCUUGAGUACAGUAGAGGUGGGCGGAAUUCGUGGUGUAGCGGUGAAAUGCUUAGAUAUCACGAAGAACUCCGAUUGCGAAGGCAGCUCACUGGACUGCAACUGACACUGAUGCUCGAAAGUGUGGGUAUCAAACA
rnacentral:rRNA from 1 species